rnacentral:rRNA from 1 species
UACGAAGGGUGCAAGCGUUAAUCGGAAUUACUGGGCUUAAAGGGCGCGUAGGCGGGCUAUCAAGUCUGAGGUGAAAUCCCGCGGCUCAACCGUGGAACUGCCUUAGAUACUGACGGCCUUGAGGAAGGUAGGGGCAUGCGGAACUGUAGGUGGAGCGGUGAAAUGCGUUGAUAUCUACAGGAACUCCGGUGGCGAAAGCGGCGUGCUGGACCUUUUCUGACGCUGAGGCGCGAAAGCUAGGGGAGCAAACGGG